rnacentral:lncRNA from 1 species
AUCACUUUAAUAAUUGAAUAUUUUAUUUUAUUUUAAUCAAUUACGAUUUACGAAAUAAGGAUCCCGUUAUUUUAACACAAUUUUUUUGACACAGUUUUGACACACACACGUGUCAAGCUGGCAUUGGUUGUUUUUCUUUUUUUUUUUUAAAUCUGUGAAUCAAAAUGAGUAGCGUUUGGAAAAUUUGGCAUUCCAAAUAUAUCCUUUCCCUGUUACAUCACGUUUUGUCUCUCAUUUCCUUCUCUCUCUCAUUUCCUUCUCUCUCUCUCAUAUCGUUGUUCUGUGCGUUGUGCUUACCCCCUUGUGUGACAUUUGAUUUUUGGUUCUCCAUUGUCGGCGUUUGGUGGAAAUGGAAAGUCCCGAACAACAGCUUCGUUGUAGGAAGGUAAAUGCGUUGUUGGGUUUUGGGUUUUUUGUUAGGGUAGUUGGGUUUUUGUGUUGUUCGACUUUUGGGUAUUUGUUUUGCGUUGUUGGGUUUUUGGUUUGCGUUGUUAGGUUUUGGGUUUUUGAUUUGUNGUCUUCCGUUGUGGAUGUUGUGGUGAGGGUUUAGUGUUGGAGGCAGAGGUGGCUGAAGAGAAGGCGAGAAGAACAACUACAACGGCAACUAACGACCACNUUGAUCAUAGUAACAAUGCACUUUUUUCCNCUGCUGUAAUGUCUAACAACCAACCGGGAGGAUUUUCGAAGACCGAUCAUGGUGGAAUGUCGCAGAACACAGCGGAUGGGAACAUGAACACCGAACCACAAAUGAAGACCUAUGUGAGGAUGNGAAGAAGAAUGUGUCACAAGAGCCAAGCCCUGAGGACACCUUACACCGNAAAUAUAGGAUGUAGAAAAAAGAAGUAGUGAUUAAUGUAUGGUAUUUUGAAUACCACCAGAACUUCAUGUUGUAGUUAAACUUAUUUCUUGCAGUAUGAAGUUGAUCUAUGUUUGGUUCCAUGUAUUUGUNUUAUUGAAAUUAAGUGGUUUAUAUUUUGAUUUGGUGUACAGAUGGAAAUGUUUUGAGUUUAUUUUGUUGCUUCCAAGGAUAAAGUAAUGUUUUUGAUAUAAUGAUAUGGUGAAGACGUUUGUGGUCAUUUGUCUGUUGUAAACGACUAGUUGAGUUAAAGUUUAAUUUUGAACAACCUGUUACACAUAAGGAAGCAUGAAUGAGAUCAUAAGGACACCAGUACUAAAUUUCUGGCAAAUAUUUGCGUGAAAAACUGCAUUGUAAUCGAUUACAAUGCAGUGUAAACGAUUACGCGAGCCUGCAGAGGUUUCUGCACAU